UACGUAGGGACCAAGCGUUGUUCGGAUUUACUGGGCGUAAAGGGCGCGUAGGCGGCGUGGUAAGUCACUUGUGAAAUCUCCGGACUUAACUCGGAAACUGCCGUUGAUACUAUCAGUCUUGAAUAUUGUGGAGGUAAGCGGAAUAUGUCAUGUAGCGGUGAAAUGCUUAGAUAUGACAUAGAACACCGAUAGCGAAGGCAGCUUGCUACACAAUUAUUGACACUGAGGCUCGAAAGCGUGGGGAUCAAACAGG
rnacentral:rRNA from 1 species